AGAGACACAGAUGUGUUUGUUGACAUAAAUGAUGGACAAAACUUUAAGUCCAACAAGUACUUCAUUGAAAAUCCAGGAUGCUUAAAGCUAAUUUUGUACCAAGAUGCUUUUGAAAUUGUCAACCCCCUUGGCUCUGCUAAGAAAAAACACAAAGUUGUUGCAGUCUAUCUGUCUUUGGCAAAUUUACCUGCUCAUGUGCGGUCCAAUACUAAUCACAUGUUCCUUGUCUUACUGUGUGGAGAGAAUGACUUAAAACAAUUUGGAGGUGCCAAGGUUUUCUCAGAGAUGUUGGAGGAUUUAAAGUGUUUGGAAGACAAUGGAAUUACUGUAGGUGAUGAAACAGUCAAAGGGGCUCUUUAUUGUAUUGCUGGUGAUAAUCUGGGUUCACACAGCAUUGGUGGGUUUACUGAAAACUUUAGUUGUUCUCAGUACUUUUGCAGAUACUGUGAAAUCACACGAAGUGAGUUUCAGAGUGAUGAUCCAAAUGUGUGUGGUCCACAGCGCACCCCAGAAAGUUAUGAUUCCGCUGUUGGUGAUCUACAAACUGAAGGUGGAGCCAGUCAAGGCAUCAAAGGCAUAAAGAUAUGACUGACUUGGAGCAAACAUUUUUACGAACUGCCAUAACUGAGGUCUUGCCUGACCUUUCAGAGGUGACAAAAGAUAUUCUAGAAGAGACCUUACAAUCCAUUGGGGUGGAAACAUUCGAUGAUUUUCAGUUUAUUGAGGAAGCCGAUUUGCUGUCAGCGUUAAGGCCAAUUCAAGCCCGCAAAGCCCUGGCUGCUUGGAAGCUGAAAUGCCAGACUCCUGAAUCAAGUAGCCCAUCUGUUGGUGCCUCACCAGGACCUUCUGCAUUCUUUCCAUCACCCUCACCCAGAAGUUCAUCCUCAGCCUCUUCCAGCAGCUGCCAAAGCCCUGAUGUAGAUUGGGUGGAUAGCUUUGUAAUACCUUGGGAAAAGUUCCCAGAAGAACUGACGCAGUCUUUAGAGAGAGGAAAAAGACCAAGUCCACGAAUGAGACGAG